rnacentral:lncRNA from 1 species
GGAAAGGACGCGCUGCAGGGACUCCGGGAGCUGGGGCGGUCGCUGGUACCCACGGGGAGCAGGGGAGCCUUCCUAGGGGCCGCGGCACCGUGCCGCAGGUCGAGGUUGACCCGGCCGGGCUGGUGGGAGCCCUCGGCGGCUUCAUGGCCCCGGCUGCUGCACGGGUUCCCCAGGGUGGGGAAGCGGGUCCUGGCCGAGCAGAGGUUGCUCUUGGGCGGGGCGUCUCCCCGGAGCAAGCGCUCAGCUACUCGGGCUUUUGCGUAAACGCCUCGAUUCUCUGGGCUCUCGGAGAGCAGCUGGGUCCUGCCGGAGCGCACUCCAGCCGGGGUCGGGGUGGGGCAGCGCCGGCUCUUGUCGUCCUAGGGAUGGGUCUCUGCCCUGUGCUCUGCGAGCCGCCCCGGCCGCCCCCGCGUUCAGGGCCCAGCGGAGUGAGCCAGCUUAGGUGGAAGUGCGUCCCUCCCUCCGUGGCUGAACACGUGGGGACAGGGAGUACACCAAUGGGGUUUCUGGGUUGGGGGCAGAGGACAAGAAAAUGACUGUGAGCCAGGGCAAGAUACCUCCACCCUCUCCCUCCUGGCAGCUCUCCACUUCCUCCAGGAGAGAAGUACUGACCAGAGAACGCCCGUGGAGGGGCCUGCAGUACGGACACCUGCUCCAUGCCCGGAAGAGAGCGGAAACCAGGCACACCAUUCACAAGUAAAUGACCAAGGAACCCCGCCCCCGGCCCGCCUCCCUCCGUUUAAGAAGCCAAUCUGAAGAGCGCUAAGGCCAGACACCCUCGAGGGAGAAUCUAGGGGCAGGGCUGCAAAACUGGGCUUGGAAGUUAGGCAGACAUCGUGGAGUCCGGGUGCACCUGCUGGAGCACAAAGCACCACUUGCAGACAUCCUGACCGCCCCCCUUUGAGGUUGGGGUGGGGACUGACCCCAAGGCAACGGGGAUGUCUGAUUCUGAAUGUUGGGUUAGACAGACUCAAGUGCGGCACCUGGAGUCAGUUCCUUGCUCCUCUCUUCUCGCCAGGGCUGCUCUGAAGGUGUUUGGGCUGGAAAUGCUGUCUUUGAUGCUGGGGAGUGGGGAGAGGAGGGCCAGGUGCAUCUCAUUUGGCCUUCAGAGUCAGGAAGUCAGAUGCCGCAUCGUUGUGAAUUUCCCCACAGGGAUCCUCCGCUGGUCUUCUGACCGAAUUUCCCCACAGGAAUCCGCAGGUCUUCUGACUGCUAGUUUUAACCCUCUGAAGCCUUGUGAGUCACUCGCUCACACACACCAACCCCAUCCAGUCCUCCCAGGCCAUCUCUUCCAUACGGAUGGUAACAUGCCAAGACUGUCCUAGAGGAAAUGAUCACGAUCACGUGGAGGAGGAAACGGACGUGGGAGAAGGCCCGCCAAACCAGCAGCCUCACCCCGCGGUUUACUCCGCUGCCCACCCCACUCUGCUCCGGGGGCUGGCAGGCUUUUGGCCCCACGCCAAGCCCAGCUCCUAUCUGCAACAAGAUUUAUGAUCAGUAGUCAUGUGGGGGACCUUAAGCAUGGAUCCCAGGGGAAAGGGGGUGAGUUAGACACAAGCGAAGGGCUGAAGGCCGGCUCUCCAUCAGCUGCUGGGCUGUGCCGUGCCCCACCUGUACUUGGCGAAGAGUGAUGAGGGCUGAGGCAGCCUCUCUGUCCGUGGGUGUGGAAGAUGCACACACUCCUAGCGGAAGCCUUCGAGACAGCAGCGCAGACCGCUGGACACUGCGUUUCUAUGCCCAACUUGGAGGUGUUAUCAUCUCCCUAAGCACGAAGUAUAUGAAGGAGUCAAUUUAGGUCAGACUGAGGGGAGAAAAACCAUGAAGCUUCAGGCUGUGUUGAGGGCGAGGAGGGCUGGGCCUUGAGGGACCUCUCCUCAGAGCAGCACAGCCCAAUAAGGAGAACACAGCAGGAAGGUGAGGCAGGGACCCAGGAACCCGACUUCUCCCUUUUUUUUUUUUUGACACACACAGGUUCUCACUGUGUCUCCCAGGCUAGAGUGUAGUGGCACAGUCUCGGCUCACUGCAGCCUCAACACCCCAGGCUCAAGCCAACCUCCUGCCUCAGCCUCCCGAAAAGCUGGACUAUAGGUGCACACUACCACGCCAGGCUAAUUUUUUGUCUUUUUUAAUAGAGACAGGGUUUCGCCAUGUUGGCCACGUUGGUCUCGAACCCCGGGCCUGAGUUCUAUUUCUAAGCAGUACAAUUUGCUUGAUUUAAUGGGGGAGUGGCAUCCAGAACUGUUUUAAAUUUUUUAAUUUUGGCCAGGCACGGUGGCUCAUGCCUGUAAUCCCAGCACUUUGGGAGGCCGAGGCGGGCAGGAUCACAAGGUCAGGAGAUCGAGACCAUCCUAGCUAACACAGUGAAACCCCGUCUCUACUAAAAAUACAAAAAAAUUAGCUGGGCAUAGUGGCGGCGCCUGUAGUCCCAGCUACUCGGGAGGCUGAGGCAGGAGGAUGGUGUGAACCCGGGAGGCGAGCUUGCAGUG